UGAGUAACGAUUGUAUAUGGUUCAAAACCACAUUAUAUGACCCUGGGAUGUAUCCCCCUAUGAUUCCGUGAUUUUUCGACAUCAGAUCGCGAAACCUCCGAAAUUGGUCCGAAUUCGUGUAUUAUAAUUUUCAAAUUUGGCUUCUGGUGAACUUUUUUUGACCCAACAAGGUUAUGCAUCGACAUAAUUUUUGAGGUAUAAAUCGAGACGAAUAUUACAAAAUCUCAAGUGAGAAUAAAUUUUUUCCCAUCAAAAGUUAAAAACUAGUCAAAGUAAAGUACCGUAUAUAAAUUAAAUUAAAUUAAAUAGUAUAAAAGUCUAUAUGUUACAAGUAAAAAUAACCUCCUUUCAAAAAAAAAAAAAAAAAAAAAAAAAAAAAAAAAAAACCUCAGUUUUUCCCUGUUUUGAUAUUUCCUCGGUUUGAGGCUUCGGCCUUUCACUUAUAUUUUCCCUCAUAAUAUCAUACGGUGCAUUUCUCUGUCACACACUCUCUCUCUCCUCCAUUGAAGUGUACUGUCGUACUUUGAAUUCCCCAUUGAAGCGGCUUCUGAGCUUUCUCGCCUCCAUUAAAGCGGCUUCUGAGGAUAGUUGAUUGAUAAUCUACUGCAUACUGCCUAUAGAAAAUGCCUAAAAAGAAGUCUUCAAAGGCGUCCAAUACUCCAAAAGAAGAACCUGAUACUCAACUAGUAAAACUAUCUGCUAACUCAAAAAAGGCCGACGAAAGUGAGUGCCUAAAAAGAAGUCUUCAAAGGCCUCCAAUGCUCCAAAAGAACUUGAUGCUCAACAAGAAAAACCAUCUGCUGGUCUUUAAAAGGCCGACGAAAUUGAUACUAUCUUUGCAAGCCGAAAGAGGAAGAAGGCUGAGCAAGAAAAGGCUGAAAGAACUAGCAACACAAAUGAAAAAUCGAAGAAAAUAAAGAAAAAGAUGAAGAGAAGCCUAAAAGAAAAUGAAGCUUUGAACCCUGACUCCAAGCCUAGAAGGAGAACAAAUGACAGACUUGCUAUUUACUCAGAAGAAGAGCUGAGACUUAACAGUCAAGACGGUGGUAACACUGGAGAAUGCCCUUUUGAUUCUUCUUGUUGCUUUUAAGAUCAUACUCCUAGGAUUUUAUUUAUGAUUGUUAUGUUCUUAGUAGAGAUUUUUCAAACAUGGCAGUGUGAUCCACCUUUGCAUUCUGCUUGUCAAACCCAGUAAAACUCAUUUGACAUCUGUACAAGCAAUUUUGAUGCAGUAUUGUUUGGCA